rnacentral:rRNA from 1 species
UGGGGAAUAUUGCACAAUGGGCGCAAGCCUGAUGCAGCCAUGCCGCGUGUAUGAAGAAGGCCUUCGGGUUGUAAAGUACUUUCAGUCGGGAGGAAGGUGGUAAGGUUAAUAACCUUAUCAAUUGACGUUACCGACAGAAGAAGCACCGGCUAACUCCGUGCCAGCAGCCGCGGUAAUACGGAGGGUGCAAGCGUUAAUCGGAAUUACUGGGCGUAAAGCGCACGCAGGCGGUUGAUUGAGUCAGAUGUGAAAUCCCCGGGCUUAACCCGGGAAUUGCAUCUGAUACUGGUCAGCUAGAGUCUUGUAGAGGGGGGUAGAAUUCCAUGUGUAGCGGUGAAAUGCGUAGAGAUGUGGAGGAGUACCGGUGGCGAAGGCGGCCCCCUGGACAAAGACUGACGCUCAGGUGCGAAAGCGUGGGGAGCAAACAGG